CCCGGUAGCUAAAUGCGGAAGAGAUAAGUGCUGAAAGCAUCUAAGCACGAAACUUGCCCCGAGAUGAGUUCUCCCUGACUCCUUGAGAGUCCUGAAGGAACGUUGAAGACGACGACGUUGAUAGGCCGGGUGUGUAAGCGCAGCGAUGCGUUGAGCUAACCGGUACUAAUGAACCGUGAGGCUUAACCUUACAACGCCGAAG
rnacentral:rRNA from 1 species